rnacentral:tRNA from 1 species
UAGCUCAGUUGGUAGAGUGCUUGCCUCACAUGCACAAGACUCUGGGUUCAAUCCCCAG